rnacentral:ncRNA from 20 species
AUAAUAAUUGGAGAUGGCAUUCCUCCAUUAACCGCCGCAAUCUGUGGCUGAUGAUGCCUACGACUGG